AUUGAACGCUGGCGGCAUGCUUUACACAUGCAAGUCGAACGGUAACAGGCCUUCGGGUGCUGACGAGUGGCGAACGGGUGAGUAAUGCAUCGGAACGUGCCCAGAGGUGGGGGAUAACGCAGCGAAAGCUGUGCUAAUACCGCAUGUGAUCUGAGGAUGAAAGCGGGGGACCAGGCAGCAAUGUUUGGCCUCGCGCCUUUGGAGCGGCCGAUGUCAGAUUAGGUAGUUGGUGGGGUAAAGGCCUACCAAGCCGACGAUCUGUAGCUGGUCUGAGAGGACGACCAGCCACACUGGGACUGAGACACGGCCCAGACUCCUACGGGAGGCAGCAGUGGGGAAUUUUGGACAAUGGGCGCAAGCCUGAUCCAGCAAUGCCGCGUGCGGGAAGAAGGCCUUCGGGUUGUAAACCGCUUUAGUACGGAACGAAAAGGCUCUGGCUAAUACCUGGGGCUGAUGACGGUACCGUAAGAAUAAGCACCGGCUAACUACGUG
rnacentral:rRNA from 1 species